rnacentral:ncRNA from 1 species
AGAAGAACAUUCUAAAUUACGCAGCCUUCUCGAGAAAUUGAGAAGUGAAGAAUGAGGUGAAUUGCUGGAAGCCUACGAUCGAUCAGCACGAUUAUGGUAAUCAGCAGCCAAGCCUACUACAAGAGUAGGAAGGUUCAGAGGCUAUCUCGCGAGAGAGUACCCUGAUGAAUAGAAGGGGAAGCCCCUCACUCCUAAUGCUUCGUGCGAUGGAGAUGAUAUAGUCCAUUCUUUUUGGAAACAAAGAG